rnacentral:rRNA from 1 species
AUGUGGAAUCCCUUCCUCGCCCUUAGCCUCGACACCACCACUGACGCCUCCAGGAGCAGUGGGGCAUCGCCGGUGGUGCCGGCAAGGCAAUGGUUGUGGUUAGGCUUUAGUGCUAGGUUCCUCACAGUUGUAGCUGUUGGGGAACACUGCUAUGCUCGAUGUCCGGUGGUGGGGUUUGGGCACGCCACUGGUGCUCCUUCAGAUUGGCAUGGAUGCCUCCGCGCUCGGAGUCUGCUGUAUCUACGGGUUCCUAGGUGCUGUCAUAUGCUCCAGAUUUUAUAUGGCCCAUUGUAUAGGAUGCAGUUUGGAUUAUUAAUCUGGAACAGCUAUACCAUGGAGGUGUUGUUUAAGGUCCCUUGCUAA